rnacentral:rRNA from 1 species
GAUCCUGGCUCAGAUUGAACGCUGGCGGAAUGCUUUACACAUGCAAGUCGAACGGUAGAGGGGGCAACCCCUUGAGAGUGGCGAACGGGUGAGUAAUAUAUCGGAACGUGCCCAGUCGUGGGGGAUAACGUAGCGAAAGUUACGCUAAUACCGCAUACGAUCUAAGGAUGAAANCGGGGGAUCGCAAGACCUCGCGCGAUUGGAGCGGCCGAUAUCAGAUUAGGUAGUUGGUGGGGUAAAGGCUCACCAAGCCAACGAUCUGUAGCUGGUCUGAGAGGACGACCAGCCACACUGGAACUGAGACACGGUCCAGACUCCUACGGGAGGCAGCAGUGGGGAAUUUUGGACAAUGGACGCAAGUCUGAUCCAGCCAUUCCGCGUGCAGGAUGAAGGCCCUCGGGUUGUAAACUGCUUUUGUACGGAACGAAAAGGUCUCUAUUAAUACUAGGGGCUCAUGACGGUACCGUAAGAAUAAGCACCGGCUAACUACGUG